GCCUCCUUAGCUCAGUUGGUGGAGCAUGCGGCUGUUAACCGCAGGGUCACUGGUUCAAGUCCAGUAGGAGGCGCCA
rnacentral:tRNA from 1 species